rnacentral:lncRNA from 1 species
GGCACCUACUUUUCUGACACUACACGGGGAAUUUCUGAAAGAAUUAUAAGUUAUCAUUGUUCCUAAAAUAAUAAUAAUUUCAUUAUACAUACUACAUUGAUCUUUUUAAAGAAUAAUGGUGUUUUAUAAUGUUACAGGACUCCUUAGUUGAGCAUAGCUCCCAAGGUCAAUUCACUCCAGAGGGUCGCUAGGAUAUUCUUACCGCUGCAAUUAGACAACCUGAGCACCCU